GGNGACUUUCUGGACGAAAACUGACGNUGAGGCGCGAAAGCCAGGGGAGCGAACGGGAUUAGAUACCCCGGUAGUCCNGGCCGUAAACGAUGGGUACUAGGUGUAGGAGGUAUCGACCCCUUCUGUGCCGGAGUUAACGCAAUAAGUACCCCGCCUGGGGAGUACGACCGCAAGGUUGAAACUCAAAGGAAUUGACGGGGGCCCGCACAAGCGGUGGAGUAUGUGGUUUAAUUNGACGCAACGCGAAGAACCUUACCAGGUCUUGACAUUGAUGGACAGAACUAGAGAUAGUUCCUCUUCUUCGGAAGCCAGAAAACAGGUGGUGCACGGUUGUCGUCAGCUCGUGUCGUGAGAUGUUGGGUUAAGUCNNGCAACGAGCGCAACCCCUAUCUUAUGUUGCCAGCACGUAAAGGUGGGAACUCAUGAGAGACUGCCGCAGACAAUGCGGAGGAAGGCGGGGAUGACGUCAAAUCAUCAUGCCCCUUAUGACCUGGGCUACACACGUACUACAAUGGGAGUUAAUAGACGGAAGCGAGAUCGCGAGAUGGAGCAAACCCGAGAAACACUCUCUCAGUUCGGAUCGUAGGCUGCAACUCGCCUACGUGAAGUCGGAAUCGCUAGUAAUCGCAGGUCAGCAUACUGCGGUGAAUACGUUCCCGGGCCUUGUNCACA
rnacentral:rRNA from 1 species